GGUCAUGGUCCUCAGUGCCUGGCUGAGCAAUUUCUGUGAUUGGCGUCGGAAGCCGUGGGAGCUGGGAGAGACAGCACAACAGCUGACCCAGUGGCGGAUAUGGGACAGUUUGAAGCUACUUCAGUUUCCUAAUAAACAUUUGUCUUGGGUUAAAGAGAACAAUAGCAUUUUUGUUUUCAUUCACUGUGCUGUAUCUAAUGGAACAGGUUAUGCCAAGAAAUCGUUAAACACAAGGGACCACAAUUUCAAAACAUUUUUAACCUGUUUUUCAAAAGAAGAAACUACGACAUGAAAAUGACCCUGCAGCUUAAGUCCUGUGGGAGUCCAUGCUGCACAAGGAGGCUGUGAUGGAGGUCCGGAGACACCUGGUGGAGGCUGCCAGCAAAGAAAACCUGCCUAUUUAAGAUGAGCCUUGGUAGAGUCACACCUGAGCAGCUUAGUUCCUCCAUCUGUUUAAGAACAACUUCAAAGCCAUGCAGAACCACUGCAGGACCCUGAAGCUCUCCCUGGCAACUGUGCAGACACUGAGGACACCCAUUUCACCAAGUGAGACAGUUCCUGGCUUUUGAGCGCCUGCUAUUAGAGGUACUAACCAACCAACCCACCAUAUCUUUCCCUUUUAUAUGAAAAGCAUUGUCCCAAAGAGUCUGAAAUAUAGCCUAUUGCUUGUUGGCAGAAAAGUUUAAUUAUCCUGAUUCUUGCCAAUGUGUAAAUUGAGUUGUUGUUAUAUGAAGUAGUGUACAACAUAAUUUACCUUGCAUGAGAAAUAGAGCUUAAGACUGUGUUGAUCUAAUUAUUUUAAAAAAUAUAUAUUUGGGUUGCAUUUUAGUCGUAGAUGUUUAAAAACAAAUAAAACUAAUCUAAAAAUAUGUCAAUAUGAAAACAACAGAAAGAAGUGGAAUAACAAAAGUGUUAUGAAAGGAUUUGGCAAGUUGUUCUGUAAUAAGCUAUGAAAAACGUAUCACAACUUUAUUGAAAGAAAUGUGGAAUACCAACUUUGGAGUUGGGUUUCUACAGCUUAUGUUUUGCAAAUCUAUGACAAAGGGGCUGAUGUAAAGAUAGGUGUAGUGCAAACAAUUGCGGUUGCAAAAUCCAAAUUGCCCAGCGGCCAGGAAAUUAUUGCGCAUGGAAAAGAAAAUCAAAGUUUUCGGGAGCAGAGUCCUUACGGCUGAGGUCGCUCAGCAUGAAACUGAGUUAUUUGGAAAAGCCUCAGCCAACAUCAGUUAUGCUACCAGGCAGGCCAUAUGGUCCUCUAUAGUGGAGAAAGUCAAUGUUACCAGGAGGACAGUCAACUGGAUGAUGAAAAGAUGAAAUUCAGCUACUAGGUCUAGGAUGACCUGUGGAGUGAGACGAUAGCACCUUACCACCGCAUCCUCCAGCAUUCCAAACAAAGUGAGUCUGGGUUUGAAUAUGCAUGGUCCGUCUUGCCCUUGUCCUCCAAAGGUUUUCCUGCUUGUCCUCAACAAGAGCUAAGCAUUGCCGUAUCAGGAAAUGUGCCUCAGCAGCCAUCUUGAAGCCAAUGACAGGUCUCUGCAGCUGUGUGCUUUUAUACAGCUCCUGAUUACUUGCUUCUAUAACAGUAAAAGGAGGUGCAAAGUUUAUGGCGGUCCAAGUGCAAGGCAAAAUCCUUACAUCUCAUUAUAAUGUUUGCUCCCACUUAGUA